rnacentral:rRNA from 1 species
AGAGUUUGAUCAUGGCUCAGAAUCAACGCUGGCGGCGUGCCUAACACAUGCAAGUCGAGCGAGAAAAGGGGGGCAACUCCCUGAGUAAAGCGGCGCACGGGUGAGUAACACGUGGGUAAUCUGCCCUGGAGUGGGGAAUAACACCGGGAAACCGGUGCUAAUACCGCAUACGAUCACAGAGUCUGCGGAUUUUGUGAUGAAAGGAGCAAUUCGCUCUAGGAGGAGCCCGCGGCUGAUUAGCUAGUUGGUGAGGUAAUGGCUCACCAAGGCUACGAUCAGUAUCCGGUCUGAGAGGACGGUCGGACACACUGGAACUGAGACACGGUCCAGACUCCUACGGGAGGCAGCAGUGGGGAAUUUUUGGCAAUGGGGGCAACCCUGACCAAGCAACGCCGCGUGGGUGAUGAAGUCUCUUGGGACGUAAAACCCUUUCGACGGGGAAGAAAACCGCAAGGUUUGACGGUACCCGUAGAAGAAGCCCCGGCUAACUCCGUGCCAGCAGCCGCGGUAAUACGGGGGGGGCAAGCGUUGUUCGGAAUUACUGGGCGUAAAGGGCGCGUAGGCGGCUCGCUAAGUUGGAUGUGAAAACUCUGGGCUCAACCCAGAGCCUGCAUCCAAAACUGGCGGGCUAGAGUUCUGGAGGGGGUAGCGGAAUUCCUGGUGUAGCGGUGAAAUGCGUAGAUAUCAGGAGGAACACCGGUGGCGAAGGCGGCUACCUGGACAGAAACUGACGCUGAGGCGCGAAAGCUAGGGGAGCAAACAGGAUUAGAUACCCUAGUAGUCC